UACGAAGGGGGCUAGCGUUGUUCGGAAUCACUGGGCGUAAAGGGUGCGUAGGCGGAUUCUUAAGUCAGGGGUGAAAUCCCGAGGCUCAACCUCGGAACUGCCUUUGAUACUGGGGAUCUUGAGUCCGGAAGAGGUGAGUGGAACUGCGAGUGUAAGAGGUGAAAUUCGUAGAUAUUCGCAAGAACACCGGUGGCGAAGGCGGCUCACUGGUCCGGAACUGACGCUGAGGCACGAAAGCGUGGGGAGCAAACAGG
rnacentral:rRNA from 1 species